rnacentral:tRNA from 1 species
AAUUGCCUGAUAAAAGGACUACUUUGAUAGAGUAGAUCAUGUAAUUAUAUUACAUUCAUUA